GGUCCUGUGUGUAUACAUUAUGGCUUCAAGUUUAGUGUGUUUACAGAUUUCCUGAAUACACAAACAAGUUUCAGCUUUCCGGUUCCAGAAACUUCAACCACUUCAUACCAAAUCCCAAGCUGUACCCUCUGAUGUUUACUUCCUCAAGCAAAUCUCAUGUAGUUCACAAGCUUUAGAGCUUUACAAGUCUGAGGCCAAGGCGUCAGCAGGUUCAGUCUCUGAUGGCAGUUUGCUCUCAACUUCCGACGUCGCUCUUUGUUGCUGUAUUGUCAAGUACAGAAGAGGGGGAAUUUGAAGGGCUUGGUAGCCUCAUUCAGAAAAGCAGUGAACCAGCUGGGCGGUAGGACCACAAGCCUUUAACCCCAGCACUCGGGAGGCAGAGGCAGGCAGAUCUCUAUGAGUUCAAGGCCAGCCUGGUCUACAGAACGAGUU